AUGUUUUACAGUCAAAUGGCUGGGUGUGGCUUUGUUGUUGCUGCCAGUGCUUCUCCAGCCUGCACCAUACAAGUUGAAGGAGAGCGUUCCGACCCAGCAGAGGUUCAGCAGGCCUUCACUGACUUCCAACCUACUGGAACCAGUCUGGUGAAGAACCUGAAUGGGACCACAGUGGAGCACCACAUGUCCUUAUGGCUGCAGAAGACCAUCGAUGUUCCCAAGAAUUUGUGACCAUCAGUGGAACUGGAAUACCCGUCUGUUCUUAAACAUUGUUUGUGUUGAUGUCAACUCUCCAGAACCACGAGCACAGAUUUGGGGGUUUAUUCAGACAUUUAUCUUUGCAUCAUGAAUCUAACGCUGUGAAGCUUUGAGGGCUCAUGUUGCUAUGAUGUAAGGUUGAUGUUCUGCUGACUAAAGCAUUAAGGUGAGUGUUGGGAGCUGAUGGACAUUUACUUCACUACAGUUCUUCCAUUAAAGUUGUUUAACAUGUUUAAGACAUUACAAGUUACGAAAUGUUUAAUAUUUGUCAUUAAUAAAUGUAAUUAGUAGUCAUUUACAAAACCAGUUUGAAUAUGAACGCAUGUUUAGAGAAAGUAGAAAAUGCAGCUUUAUUUGUUAUCUUUGUAUUUUGAAAAUUAACAUAAUUUUUAUGAUAAAGAUUUGACUGAGACAUGUUCAUUUUGUUUUAUUGAAUUAUUCAGUUUGUAUUUUAUUUAUUGUAUUUACUGUAGAAUUGGGUCAUUUUAACCCGAGCUUUAGUAACUUAAUAACCCAGAAGUUGGGUUUUAUUUUUAACCCAGUUGUGGGUAGUCCUAACUAUACAGUUGGGUCAUUUGAACCCAUUGACUGGGUAGAAAGCAUAACCCAAUAAGCUGGGUCCAACUCAUAACCCAACCCUGCUAGGUUAAAAUAACCCAGGUGCUGGGUCGGUCCCUUUUGGACCCAGCACCUGGGUUACUAAACAACCCAAAUUGGGUUAUUUUUAACCCAGCAGUUUUAAGUGUGAUGAUGUGGCUUUUAGACCACGACUCGUUUUAUUAUUCUAUUGUGUUCUUGGUGGUCCUCGUGUUUUAUCUGCUUGUAUUCGUAUCCUGUGUUCUGAUUGGUCGUGAUUUGGUCCAGCCUGUGCAGCACUCUGGGCAGCUCCCAUGCUGCGCUGUAAAUGUGCCAUACACAUAAGCUGUGGACGUGGUAUGUGUUGUAAGAACCUCGUAGAACCUCAGUAGGUGCCAUGUGGUUACCAUUUACAGGACCCCCCUCCGACAUCUCCAUUAACCCCCAGUUCACCUCUGACAGUCACAGUGAAGUCAGACAGAAAGGCGGAGCCAGCUGACAGAGAAAGGUACGCUAAUGAACAAAGAGAAAUUCCCAACAAACUGUAAAACUUCGGGUUCUGCAGCACGGAACCGCGCGCUGGAGCUACAGGUGUUAUGCAGAGAAAAGUGACCCUGCCUGCCGACGGCUCCGCCUACCUGCUCCGUCACACACGGCUCACAGCUGCAUGGUGAGGGAGUAAAGAACUUGAAAUAAGAGCAACGCUGCUACUUUUAAGUAUAUUCACAAUAUAAACAAGUUUUCAUUGGUGCACUUCCUAAAUACAUAAAAGUCAAACUUAAAGGACCAUUCGGAUGUGUUUUCUUCUCAUUUUAAUGCUUUUCUGAAAAGUAUCGGACAGGACUCGGUAUCGACAGACACUCAGAAUCAGAUCAGGAACAAAAUAAGGUGAUCGGAACAUCUCUACUUUAUUCCUCUCAGCUCGAGGCUACCAGGGCGCCAGAUUCAGAUAAGAACUGUUUGGGUCAGGCAGACAUAAUUCUCUCUGCCUUUCAGUUGUUAACCGAUCAUUCCAGUCUCUCGGUACAUCCAUUUUUGGGAUUAACCUUGCCCAUACCAUGAACUGACUUCCUCCAAGAUCACACCCAUCUUGCGCACUAACACCAGGAUCGCAGCUAGAAUCUCUAGCUGGCCAUUCACCUUGAGCAGCUUCCCAGUCUGAGCCGUCUCCACACGGCUGACACUUUCCAUGGUCAUUGUUAAACUUCAUGCUGUACAACAUGUCGUCCUUUAUUAGCUAAACACCACUAAACAUCAUCAUACACGGUGUCGGAAGUUGGCGAGAAGAUUCCGAAGUUGGCGCUUCAGCGCGACUGAACGGGAAAGCUCAACUCGACAGCGGACCAGACGUAACGUGCUGGUAAGAGAAGGGCCUGCUAGCACGCA
rnacentral:lncRNA from 1 species